GACGAACGCUGGCGGCGUGCUUAACACAUGCAAGUCGAACGGAAAGGCCCUGCUCUUGUUGCUUUCUCGAUUGGCGCACGGGUGUGUAUCACGUGAGUAACCUGCCCUUGACUUUGGGAUAACUUCACGAAACUGGGUCUCAUACCCGAUAUGAUCUCCUGCUGCAUGUUGGGGGUUGGAAAGUUUCGGCGGUUGGGGCUGGACUCGCGGCUUAUCAGCUUGUUUGUGUGGUAGUUGCUUACCAAGGCUUUGACGGGUAGCCUGCCUGAGAGGGGUAACGGGGUCAAGGGGACUAAGAGACGGAGCAGAAGCGUACGGGAGGCAGCAGUGGAGAGUAUGACAGAAUGGGCGGAAGCCAGAGGCAGCAACGCCGCGAGCGGGAUGACGGGCUUCGGGUUGUAAACAGAUGUCGCAUGAGACGAAGAGAGAGUGACGGUAAUGGGUAAAGAAGCAACGGCUAACUACGUG
rnacentral:rRNA from 1 species